AGGUCCCAAGGGUUGGGCUGUUCGCCCAUUAAAGUGGUACGCGAGCUGGGUUCAGAACGUCGUGAGACAGUUCGGUCCCUAUCCGUCGCAGGCGUAGGAAAUUUGAGAAGACCUGUCCUUAGUACGAGAGGACCGGGAUGGACGUACCUCUGGUGUACCAGUUGUUCUGCCAAGGGCAUGGCUGGGUAGCUAUGUACGGAAUGGAUAAGCGCUGAAAGCAUCUAAGCGCGAAGCCAACUUCAAGAUAAGAUUUCCCACCGCAAGGGUAAGACUCCAGAAAGACUAUCUGGUUGAUAGGUCGAAGGUGUAAGUGCAGCAAUGUAUUUAGCUUAUCGAUACUAAUAGGUCGAGGACUUGACCAAU
rnacentral:rRNA from 1 species